ACAGGUAUCUGUUAGGUGGCCCUUGCUCUGUCGCCUGAUGCUGACCAGCUUCCCUGCUGACCGGAGGCUCCAGCGGGAGCUGCUGGCUGAGUUGGCCAGGCUGGUGUACUUGGUAGAGCCCUUGGUAUCAUCUUCCCAGCCAGACCAGGGUGGGCAGCCACUUAGACCAUCCUCGGCAUCGGCUGCCAAACCUUCAGCACAAUCUCUUUGCCUUGCUGGUAAUGUCACCCUCUCAAGAUGGCCGCUUAUGACUCACCCUUUGGACUUGGGAGAUUUGGACGCCUGGAUCAGAUGCUGUUCGUCAUCUUUAUUAAACAGAGAAGUUACUUCUUUCCAACCUCUGAGACUUGCUCCCUGAAUAGGUGAAAGGUGCCUGAUGCAGACACCUACAGAGCCACGGAAGUCACAGCACUGCCGGGGAAGGCUUGCGUCUGUCCUGUGAUCCUCAGCUCAGGGCGAGGGGGCCACAUCAGUCUACACGAAUCAGGCACAGAGUCCUGGUCUGAUCCACUUGUGCCUAGCAGCAACUGUCCCCAAAGCCCCUCUCUGGAAUCCAGUCAGAAACCCGCAAAACAAACACUGUGACUCCCCGCGAGGACACAAACUGUGAGGCCUCAAGUCACUUGACUGAAGCAGUAUCUACAAAGCACAGGAAGCCUGAACCAAGUGUUUUGGGGGGUAUUAUGUCCAGCAAGCCCAAACCCUCCGGGGCAGACACCAUAAAGCACAAACCUCCACCAAGCUAGGCCAGCUGACUCACUUGCUUGCCCUUCCCCAGCUGGGGCUGCACAUUCCACGGAUCCCUGACCAUGGUUGCCAGGGAGCCGGUCUGCAUCGUAAGACAAGCCAGCAAGAGAGGGAACUCGGGAGCUUUGCUUGCUGCCCAAUGCCUGUUUGCACUGGUGUUAUUAGGAUGCAGCCUGCAGCCAAUGGGAUCGAAACAAGUAGCCUUGAUGAGGGAAACGGAACA